CUUUUUUGUGUAGUGCAUAUGAUUAUAAUGUAUUUUCUGUCUGUUUAUUUAAUUUAAUUUCAUAUACAAUAUACAAUAUUUUUAAAUAGUUAUCAGAAUUUAAUGUUUGCAAAUUUAAAUUUGGCAAAAAAAUGUACUUGUUUUAAUGGAAAGCAUAGCAAGUAAACAUAAAAUAAUAUACGUGAGAGAAAGAUUAGCCGAGAAACUAGAAUUUUUCAGAUUUGAUCCUUAUGGUAUGCUAGAAAAUAUAUUGAAUGUUG